rnacentral:rRNA from 1 species
GACGAACGCUGGCGGCGUGCUUAACACAUGCAAGUCGAACGGAAAGGCCCUGCUUGCAGGGUACUCGAGUGGCGAACGGGUGAGUAACACGUGGGUGAUCUGCCCUGCACUUCGGGAUAAGCCUGGGAAACUGGGUCUAAUACCGGAUAGGAGCCAUUUUUAGUGUGAUGGUUGGAAAGUUUUUUCGGUGUAGGAUGAGCUCGCGGCCUAUCAGCUUGUUGGUGGGGUAAUGGCCUACCAAGGCGGCGACGGGUAGCCGGCCUGAGAGGGUGGACGGCCACAUUGGGACUGAGAUACGGCCCAGACGCCCACGGGAGGCAGCAGUGGGGAAUAUUGCACAAUGGGCGCAAGCCUGAUGCAGCGACGCCGCGUGGGGGAUGACGGCCUUCGGGUUGUAAACUCCUUUCGCUAGGGACGAAGCUUUUUGUGACGGUACCUAGAUAAGAAGCACCGGCUAACUACGUG